rnacentral:rRNA from 1 species
ACGGGAGCAGCAGGCGCGAAAACUUUACAAUGUACGAAAGUGCGAUAGGGGGAUCCCGAGUGCUUAUACAUUAUGUAUAAGCUUUUGCCAAGAGUAAAUACCUUGGCGAAUAAGUGGUGGGCAAGACUGGUGCCAGCAGCCGCGGUAACCCCAGCGCCACAAGUCGGAAUCACUUUUAUUGGGCCUAAAGCGUCCGUAGCAGGUUUUGUAAAUCUUCUGUGAAAUCGUUGCGCUCAACGUAACGGCUUGCAGGAGACACUGCAGAACUAGGGACCGGAAGGAGUCAGAGGUAUUCUUGGGGGAGCGGUAAAAUGUUAUAAUCCCAAGAGGACCACCUGUGGCGAAGGCGUCUGACUAGUACGGAUCCGACUGUGAGGGACGAAAGCUAGGGGAUCAAUCCGGAUUAGAUACCCGAGUAGUCCUAGCUGUAAACGCUGCGAGCAAGGUGUUGCAUAUUCUUCGAGAAUGUGCAGUGUCGAAGCGAAGGCGCUAAGCUCGCCGCCUGGGAAGUACGGUCGCGAGACUGAAACUUAAAGGAAUU